CAGACUAAAUUUAUUUUCAUUUUUUUUAUUUAAACCUAUUAGCCACGUUUGUAAACUAUCUGUCAUCGGUAAUACGUCAUCUUCAGUUCGACUAUUACAGGUGAUGGUUCAAUAUCCGAACUGAUGAUCGUGGUCCAAGAAUGGUUCUUCUUCAUCAGUGAGUCUACGGAUGUUUAUCAAACGUUUCCUCGUCUUCUUUGAUUGGCACCAUAAAUCAUAAAUCCACACUGCUUUCAACAAGACCACAAAACCCCCUUUGCUUAUAAAAUUUAAUUGUCUUAAGAAUCACAAUCAAUUUAUGAGAACCGUUAAUGGCAAUAGAGAUUAACAUAAUAAAUUAGCGAUUUCAAGGUCAAGUAACACAUCGCCAAGGGUUUAUGGACUUUAUCAUUCCGUCAAGAGUCAGCCUCCAGUCACAAAUCGAAUACACCAUGAGACGGAUGCGACCAAAAAUGAAGUUCAUAAAACCCGAUCAGGGCAUGCUGACAUAGUUCCUAUGAGCUCUACUACAUUUGGGAAUAGAAAGAAAGGCGAUUGUGGAAUGUCCUAGUGAGAGACCCAGGUAAGCUGAAAAAGAAAGUGGAAUGGAUUCAACAAAGUCCUUGAAGAACAUAUACUUAAAGUCUGGUCAAAGUGGAUCCUUGAAAUCUA